rnacentral:rRNA from 1 species
ACAGCCGCUUGCUCCGCUGCACGAGUGGCGAACGGGUGAGUAAUAUAUCGGAACGUACCCAAGAGUGGGGGAUAACGUAGCGAAAGUUACGCUAAUACCGCAUACGAUCUAUGGAUGAAAGCAGGGGAUCUUCGGGCCUUGUGCUCCUGGAGCGGCCGAUAUCUGAUUAGCUAGUUGGUGAGGUAAAGGCUCACCAAGGCGACGAUCAGUAGCUGGUCUGAGAGGACGACCAGCCACACUGGAACUGAGACACGGUCCAGACUCCUACGGGAGGCAGCAGUGGGGAAUUUUGGACAAUGGGCGCAAGCCUGAUCCAGCAAUGCCGCGUGAGUGAAGAAGGCCUUCGGGUUGUAAAGCUCUUUUGUCAGGGAAGAAACGGUAGAGGCUAAUAUCCUUUGCUAAUGACGGUACCUGAAGAAUAAGCACCGGCUAACUACGUGCCAGCAGCCGCGGUAAUACGUAGGGUGCAAGCGUUAAUCGGAAUUACUGGGCGUAAAGCGUGCGCAGGCGGUUUUGUAAGUCUGUCGUGAAAUCCCCGGGCUCAACCUGGGAAUUGCGAUGGAGACUGCAAGGCUAGAAUCUGGCAGAGGGGGGUAGAAUUCCACGUGUAGCAGUGAAAUGCGUAGAGAUGUGGAGGAACACCGAUGGCGAAGGCAGCCCCCUGGGUCAAGAUUGACGCUCAUGCACGAAAGCGUGGGGAGCAAACAGGAUUAGAUACCCUGGUAGUCCACGCCCUAAACGAUGUCUACUAGUUGUCGGGUUUUAAUUAACUUGGUAACGCAGCUAACGCGUGAAGUAGACCGCCUGGGGAGUACGGUCGCAAGAUUAAAACUCAAAGGAAUUGACGGGGACCCGCACAAGCGGUGGAUGAUGUGGAUUAAUUCGAUGCAACGCGAAAAACCUUACCUACCCUUGACAUGUACGGAAGCCCGAAGAGAUUGAGCUGUGCUCGAAAGAGAACCGUAACACAGGUGCUGCAUGGCUGUCGUCAGCUCGUGUCGUGAGAUGUUGGGUUAAGUCCCGCAACGAGCGCAACCCUUGUCAUUAGUUGCUACAUUUAGUUGAGCACUCUAAUGAGACUGCCGGUGACAAACCGGAGGAAGGUGGGGAUGACGUCAAGUCCUCAUGGCCCUUAUGGGUAGGGCUUCACACGUCAUACAAUGGUACAUACAGAGGGCCGCCAACCCGCGAGGGGGAGCUAAUCCCAGAAAGUGUAUCGUAGUCCGGAUCGCAGUCUGCAACUCGACUGCGUGAAGUUGGAAUCGCUAGUAAUCGCGGAUCAGCAGUCGUCGAUUUUCU